rnacentral:rRNA from 1 species
GACGAACGCUGGCGGCGUACUUAACACAUGCAAGUCGAACGGUGAACGAGGGAGCUUGCUCCCUCCGGAUCAGUGGCGAACGGGUGAGUAACACGUGAGCAAUCUGCCCCGAACUCUGGGAUAAGCGUUGGAAACGACGUCUAAUACCGGAUACGACGCGGGAGGGCAUCCUCUCCGCGUGGAAAGAACUUCGGUUCGGGAUGAGCUCGCGGCCUAUCAGCUUGUUGGUGAGGUAACGGCUCACCAAGGCGACGACGGGUAGCCGGCCUGAGAGGGUGACCGGCCACACUGGGACUGAGACACGGCCCAGACUCCUACGGGAGGCAGCAGUGGGGAAUAUUGCACAAUGGGCGCAAGCCUGAUGCAGCAACGCCGCGUGAGGGACGACGGCCUUCGGGUUGUAAACCUCUUUUAGCAGGGAAGAAGCGAAAGUGACGGUACCUGCAGAAAAAGCACCGGCUAACUACGUG